GAUUUUUUAAUUUGCAGCUUGUCUAACCUAACUCGAAAUCAGUAUAAGAUAAAUCAAAGGAUUGCAAUGUUGAAGCGUUCUUAUGACUUGGUUGCUGCACUUUUACAAAUUCAAUAACUUCUUUAUUGUCUGUGCGUAAAAAUCAACGUGGCACUUUAAGUUAUAAAGUUAUAUACGUCUGCCUUCUUGGAAAAGUUUUUUUGUCUGCAUAUAACGACUAAUUAUGGAAGAAGACGGUUUAAUGAUCUCUGCCUCUGUUGGCAACAUGGACAUUGUAAUUUUAUUGAAAAGGAAAAGGAUGUUUCUGAGAAAUAUACAUUUGCUACAUAUGUCAAAAUCCAUAUCGACUACGGCCGUCUAAGAAAUAUUAUUACGAUCAGGACUGGAUUAUGGAAGGAAAAUUGUCAAGCUUGUCUAACCAAACUCGAAAUCAGUAUUAGAUAAAUCAAAGGAUUGCAAUGUUGAAACGUUCUUAUGACUUGGUUGCUGCACUUUUACAAAUUCAACAACUUCUUCAUAGUCUGUGCGUAAAAAUCAACGUGGCACAUUAAGUUAUAAAGUUAUAUACGUUUGCCUUCUUGGAAAAGUUUUUUUGUCUGCAUUAUAACGACUAAUUAUGGAAGAGGACGGUUUAAUGAUCUCUGUCUCUGCUGGCAACAUGGACAUUGUGAUUUUAUUGAAAAAGGAAAAGGAUGUUCCUGAAUGUGGAACGCUUCCACAUUGACAUAUGUAACUGCAAACGUAUGUAGUAUUUCUUGUGACAUGCUAUACGUUAUCAAAGAUAAAGCAUUAAAAAUUGAUGACUACGAUUGCUUCAUGCAACAUUUCUUAUGGUUUACGGAGAACAUCAUGUUGUUCUCUAUAGUUACAACCAUAAUCUCUUGUGUGUUUUAUCUCUAAAUGGAAACUUUAUGUUUUGGUUAUCCAGUAGAACAUGUAGUUUUUUCUCCCGAUGCAAAUACAGCUUACAUAAAAGUAAGAGAUCAAAUAUUUAAAUACACAAGAAACGGAAAACUUGAACAGACAAAUAUAACGUUAAACGAACAGUGUGAUCAAAUAGAAGUUAUACGAAUUGAUAUCAAGAGAUAUUAUCCUUGCUCUGUCUUCUGGAAAAUAGUUUCUUGGUCGACGGAAAAGAAAUUGCUAAGAAUAUUACAAGUUUUUACGUACAUUCUGAUUUUUUGUUUCUUACGACACUGCAAUGUACAUUGAUUUGUGUCUUAUUGAACGAAGUUAAUAUAAAGCAGCUAAAUGAACGUGAUUUAACUAACCAGCUCUCAGGGAUUUAAAUAUGAACGAGAUUUUAUUUGCGGAUACAUCAGGUACCUACAUCAGACGACUCGAAAAAGGUUCUCGUAUAAUAACGGCGAUACCGUACGACUCAAAAAUAAUUUUAUAGCUGCCUAGAGGAAAUUUAGAAUGUAUACAGCCAAGGGCAUUAUCGGUGCAUAUAGUAAAAUGUUACCUGAAUAACUGCGGCAAUAAAAUUGUUUGAGAAGAAUACUAUAGAGUAUAAAAAGGUGGCUGAAGUUUAUGGAGAAUUUUUGUCAAGUGAAGGAAAAUAUGUGGAAGCUGGUUUUAUAGAAGUGGCGAUCUUGACAAAAAGUUGUAGAAACAUUUAGAAUGUUAAAUGAUAAUUGGGAGGAUAUAAUCGCAAUAUCAAAAGAGAUGAAACUACGAUAUUAAAGACGAAGGAACACGAAUGUAAAGAGAUCACGCCAGCAGAAACUCCAUCGUUCUUCAAUACAGCGGACAAAAUGCUAAAUCUAAUGCAUGUGACGUUAAAAGAAGCAAAAUACAUUAUGACUAUAGGAUGGAUGGAUCUCAAUGUUAUAUCGCUCGCGCUUCAAAUUAUUUGUUUAGCAGGUAACAUUUUAUCAAGGAUGCUAUUAGGCGGAAGAGCGGAGAGAAACAAAUAUCUGUUGUUACAUGCUUUUAAAUUUGAAAGAUUACAUAACGCUGGAUAAGAAAAUUGAAAAGAAGGGGCGAGGCGAUGAUGGCCCGCGUAGGAAAGCUGCGGGGUAUGCUGAAGGUCUCGUGUUUGAUCCGAAGAAAGGUUUCUACGACAAAGGUUUCUACUGUUAAGGUUCAUUGGUCAUAUGAAGUUUGCACACGUCAAGCUUGACAUCCUAAAGACAUCCUACACAAUGCAUUCUGAAAACGAUACCGUGCAGGUUCGUUGGCGUAUACGUGGUGUCAUCACAGACUGGAAGGUAUUUUCUGUGUUUUGGAAGUAAAAUUUGUAAAAUACAACAUGUCAUAAAAUAAGCGCUAACCAGAAAAUAUGGUACGACGGCUUUUUUAUUUUUUACGUUAAUGCUGAAUGGAAAAGUCUAUAAGCAUAUUGCGGACAAGAUGAUGCCUAAUCAGGAUACAGCCACGAAAAAGAAAGAUAUGCGCAUGGCAGGGAAAUUAACGCUAUUCACAGGCCUUGUAAACAUAUUUAGUAACAACGAAGAUUCUUUGAAUUGAGCUCUGUCUUAAAAUCGCAUCAAUUGAAGUGAAUCCAUUGCUGAGUGCUGAAAUUAUACGAUUUUAUCCGUCACAACGAAUAGACCAAGAGGAAUGAUUUUUCCAGUCGAUGGUUUCGAAUGUUGCUGACAUAUCUAUUUCGUUGCAAAUGCAUCAUUAUGAAAUGAUGAUCGGUAGUAAAUGAAAGAUAUGUGAAUUAAAAAGAUGUGUACAUUAACUAAACAGUAUCUUUGUUUGAUUACAAACUAUCUUCAUCUAAUUUUUUAGUGAAAAUGUCCGAAUAAUUUGCGUUAGUAUAUCUGUGUAAAA